UACGAAGGGGGCUAGCGUUGCUCGGAAUCACUGGGCGUAAAGCGCACGUAGGCGGGCUUUUAAGUCGGAGGUGAAAUCCCAGGGCUCAACCCUGGAACUGCCUUCGAUACUGGAAGUCUUGAGUCCGGAAGAGGUGAGUGGAACUCCGAGUGUAGAGGUGAAAUUCGUAGAUAUUCGGAAGAACACCAGUGGCGAAGGCGGCUCACUGGUCCGGUACUGACGCUGAGGUGCGAAAGCGUGGGGAGCAAACAGG
rnacentral:rRNA from 1 species